rnacentral:rRNA from 1 species
CCUACGGGAGGCAGCAGUGGGGAAUAUUGGACAAUGGGGGAAACCCUGAUCCAGCGAUGCCGCGUGAAUGAAGAAGGCCUUAGGGUUGUAAAGUUCUUUCACCUGUGACGCGGUAACAGGAGAAGAAGCCCCGGCUAACUCCGUGCCAGCAGCCGCGGUAAGACGGAGGGGGCUAGCGUUGUUCGGAAUGACUGGGCGUAAAGGGCGCGUAGGCGGCCGAUCAAGUCAGGUGUGAAAGCCUCGGGCUUAACCCGAGAAUUGCGCUUGAUACUGGUUGGCUAGAAGAUGGAAGAGAAAAGCGGAAUUCCUAGUGUAGAGGUGAAAUUCGUAGAUAUUAGGAAGAACACCAGAGGCGAAGGCGGCUUUUUGGUCAUCUUGACGCUGAGGCGCGAAAGCGUGGGGAGCAAACAGUAUUAGAUACCCUUGUAGUC